AUUGAACGCUGGCGGCAGGCCUAACACAUGCAAGUCGAACGAGUGGCGGACGGGUGAGUAAUGUCUGGGAAACUGCCUGAGGGAGGGGGAUAACUAAUGGAAACGGUAGCUACUACUGCAAACCAUCAGAUGUGACCAGAUGGGGUUAGCUAGUUGGUGGGGUAACGGUUAACCAAGGCGACGAACCCUAGCGGGUCUGAGAGGAAGACCGGCCACACUGGAACUGAGACACGUUCCAGACUCCUACGGGAGGCAGCAGUGGGGAAUAUUUCACAAUGGGCGCAAGCCUGAUGCAGCCAUGCCGCGUGUGUGAAGAAGGCUUUCGGUUUGUAAAGUUCUUUCGGCGGGGAGGCGUUACCCGCAGAAUAAGCACCGGCUAACUCCGUGCCAGCAGCCGCGGUAAUAC
rnacentral:rRNA from 1 species